rnacentral:rRNA from 1 species
CUGGCUCAGGACGAACGCUGGCGGCACGCUUAACACAUGCAAGUCGAACGGAGAUAUUUUGAGUUUACUUAGGAUAUCUUAGUGGCGGACGGGUGAGUAACACGUGAGCAACCUGCCUUGGAGAGAGGGAUAGCUUCUGGAAACGGAUGGUAAUACCUCAUAACAUACAGAGACCGCAUGAUUUCUGUAUCAAAGAUUUAUCACUCUGAGAUGGGCUCGCGUCUGAUUAGCUAGAUGGUGAGGUAACGGCCCACCAUGGCGACGAUCAGUAGCCGGACUGAGAGGUUGAACGGCCACAUUGGGACUGAGACACGG